rnacentral:misc_RNA from 1 species
AACCCCAUCAAGCCCGGCUUGGUAUUGGGCGUCGGGAGCACACCCGCGCCUCAAUUUCGCCGGCUGGACGACCCCGAUCUCAGCGUUGUGACACAAUAUCUCGCUGGUGAGACGGGCGGCCACGCCGUGAAACAUUUCGAUUAA